rnacentral:rRNA from 1 species
UUCGCCCUUAGAGUUUGAUCCUGGCUCAGGACGAACGCUGGCGGCGUGCUUAACACAUGCAAGUCGAACGGAGUGCCUCGGAAAGAGAUUUCGGUCAAUGGAAGAGGAUACUUAGUGGCGGACGGGUGAGUAACGCGUGAGGAACCUACCUCUCAGAGGGGGACAACAGUUGGAAACGACUGCUAAUACCGCAUAAUAUAUCUGUAUCGCAUGGUAUGGAUAUCAAAGAUUUAUCGCUGAGAGAUGGCCUCGCGUCUGAUUAGCUAGUUGGUAGGGUAACGGCCUACCAAGGCGACGAUCAGUAGCCGGACUGAGAGGUUGGCCGGCCACAUUGGGACUGAGAUACGGCCCAGACUCCUACGGGAGGCAGCAGUGGGGAAUAUUGGGCAAUGGGCGCAAGCCUGACCCAGCAACGCCGCGUGAAGGAAGAAGGCUUUCGGGUUGUAAACUUCUUUUGACAGGGAAGAGCAGAAGACGGUACCUGUCGAAUAAGCCACGGCUAACUACGUGCCAGCAGCCGCGGUAAUACGUAGGUGGCAAGCGUUGUCCGGAUUUACUGGGUGUAAAGGGCGUGUAGCCGGGCUGACAAGUCAGAUGUGAAAUCCGGGGGCUCAACCCCCGAACUGCAUUUGAAACUGUUGGUCUUGAGUAUCGGAGAGGCAGGCGGAAUUCCUAGUGUAGCGGUGAAAUGCGUAGAUAUUAGGAGGAACACCAAUGGCGAAGGCGGCCCGCUGGACGACAACUGACGGUGAGGCGCGAAAGCGUGGGGAGCAAACAGGAUUUAGAUACCCUGGUAGUCCACGCUGUAAACGAUGGAUACUAGGUGUGCGGGGAGUGACCCCCUGCGUGCCGCAGCUAACGCAAUAAGUAUCCCACCUGGGGAGUACGAUCGCAAGGUUGAAACUCAAAGGAAUUGACGGGGGCCCGCACAAGCGGUGGAUUAUGUGGUUUAAUUCGAUGCAACGCGAAGAACCUUACCAGGGCUUGACAUCCUACUAACGAAGUAGAGAUACAUUAGGUACCCUUCGGGGGAAGUAGAGACAGGUGGUGCAUGGUUGUCGUCAGCUCGUGUCGUGAGAUGUUGGGUUAAGUCCCGCAACGAGCGCAACCCUUAUUGUUAGUUGCUACGCAAGAGCACUCUAGCGAGACUGCCGUUGACAAAACGGAGGAAGGUGGGGAGGACGUCAAAUCAUCAUGCCCCCUAUGUCCUGGGGUACACACGUAAUACAAUGGCGGUCAACAGAGGGAUGCAAAACCGUGAGGUGGAGCGAACCCCUAAAAGCCGUCCCAGUUCAGAUCGCAGUCUGCAACCCGACUGCGUGAAGUCGGAAUCGCUAGUAAUCGCGGAUCAGCAUGCCGCGGUGAAUACGUUCCCGGGCCUUGCACUCACCGCCCGUCA